rnacentral:rRNA from 1 species
AACGAACGCUGGCGGCGCGCCUAAUACAUGCAAGUCGAACGAGAAGGUGUAGCAAUACACUUGUACAGUGGCGAACGGGUGAGGAAUGCAUGGGCAACCUACCCUCGAGUGGGGAAUAACCAGCCGAAAGGUUGGCUAAUACCGCGUACGCUUCCGGGUCUCCGGAUCCGGAAGGAAAGUCACACCGUGGGUGUGACGCUCAAGGAUGGGCUCAUGUCCUAUCAGCUUGGGUGAGGUAACGGCUCACCAAGGCAACGACGGGUAGCUGGUCUGAGAGGACGAUCAGCCACACUGGCACUGCGACACGGGCCAGACUCCUACGGGAGGCAGCAGUAAGGAAUAUUGCGCAAUGGGCGAAAGCCUGACGCAGCGACGCCGCGUGGGGGAUGAAGGUCUUCGGAUUGUAAACCCCUU